rnacentral:rRNA from 1 species
GUUGAACGCUGGCGGCGUGCCUAAUACAUGCAAGUCGAGCGGACGGAUGAGAUACUUGCCUCUCUGAUGUUAGCGGCGGGCAGGGGAGUAACACGUGGAGAACCGACCUAUAAGACUGGGAUAAACUCGGGAAAAGGGAGCUAAUACCGGAAGAUAACUUGAACCGCAUGGUUCAAGAGUGAAAGACGGUCUUCCUUACAAUCAUCGGUGGUUCGGCGCUGGAUUAGCUAGUUGGUAAGGUAACGGCUUACCAAGGCAACGACCAAUAGCAGAUCUGAGAGGACGAUCAGCCACACUGGGACUGAGACACGGUCCAGACUCCUACGGGAGGCAGCAGUGGGGAAUCUUCCGCAAUGGGCGAAAGCCUGAUGCAGCAACGCCGCGUGUGUGAUGAAGGUCUUCGGGUCGUAAAGCUCUGUUAUUCGGGAAGAACAUGUGUGUGUGAAUCUGUGCACACCUUGACGGUACCGGAUGAGUAAGGCACGGCUAACUACGUG